GUCCUCGGUGGCUCAGAUGGAUAGAGCGUCUGCCAUGUAAGCAGAAGACCCCGGGUUCGAGUCCCGGUCGGGCGCACA